AUGGAUUCUUGGGAGCCCAAGAUGCCUUCUUGGGACCUCGGCACGGUGGUCGCGCCCAGCAGCGGAGGAGGAGGCGGCGGCGGCGCGCUGGACCUGAAGCUCGGCGCGCCGACGAGCUGGAGGCCGGUCCCGGCGGGGGCGGCCGCUGCGGUGGUAUCGGUGCAGCAGCAGCAGCCGCCUUCCGCGGCGCCGGCGAAGCGGGCCCGGGCGGGGCAGGGGCAGCAGACGGUGCCGCCGUGCUCCGUGGAGGGGUGCACGGCCGACCUGUCCCGCUGCCGCGAGUACCACCGCCGGCACAAGGUCUGCGAGGCGCACUCCAAGACGCCCGUCGUCGCCGUCGCCGGCCAGCAGCAGCGCUUCUGCCAGCAGUGCAGCAGGUUCCAUUUGCUCGGGGAGUUCGACGAGGUGAAGAGGAGCUGCAGGAAGCGCCUCGACGGCCACAACCGCCGCCGCCGGAAGCCGCAGCCGGAUCCCCUCAACCCUGCCGGCUUGUUCGCUAAUCACCAUGGAGUGACAAGAUUCGCGUCGUACCCGCAAAUCUUCUCCCCGACGUCCAUGGCGGAGCCCAAGUGGCCCGGCGGCAUCGCCGUGAAGACGGAGGCCGACGCGUUCCACGAGCAGUACUACUCCUUCAGCGGCGCCGCCUCCCUCUUCCACCACGGCAAGCCGGAGAGGAAGCACUUCCCCUUCCUGACGGACGGCGGCGGCGAGGCCACGUUCGGCUGCCAGCCGCCGGCGUUCACCAUCACGCCUUCCUCGGAGAGCAGCAGCAACAGCAGCCGGCACAGCAACGGCAAGACCACCAUGUUCGCCCACGACGGGGGCCCGGACCACAACUGUGCUCUCUCUCUUCUGUCAGACAACCCGGCGUCGGCGCACAUCAUGGUCCCCGCGGAGGCGCAUCAUCUCGGCGGCGGCGGCGUGACGAUACAGUACGGCGGUGGCGGCGGCGGCGGCGGUAAGGUGGCGCGGCUGUCCAGCAACGGCGACGUCUCGCUCACCGGGCUGUCUUACGUGAGCCUGGGAGACAAGGGCGCGCCCAUGUUGCACGCGUCUAACAGAUCGCAGCACGCCGCUGCUACCGCUGCCACUGCCGUUGCUACCAGCACAGCGGCGGCUCCGGCGGCAUCCCAGCUCCAGCAGCAGUACCAUGGAUACUACCACCACCAACACCAAGUGAGCGCUGAUCAGGGGAGCCACCCGGAUGCAGGUGGGAUGCAUGCCCUACCCUUCUCGUCAUGGUAG
rnacentral:rRNA from 1 species